rnacentral:rRNA from 1 species
UGGUCAAGUUAUUAAGGGUGCAGGGCGGAUGCCUUGGCACUAGGAGCCGAUGAAGGACGUGAUAAGCUGCGAUAAGCUUCGGGGAGUUGCACGUAAACUUUGAUCCGAAGAUUUCCGAAUGAGGAAACUCACUUAGAGUAAUGUCUAAGUAUCAUUAAGUGAAUACAUAGCUUAAUGAGGGGAACUCAGGGAACUGAAACAUCUAAGUACCUGAAGGAAGAGAAAGAAAUUCGAUUCCGUAAGUAGCGGCGAGCGAACGCGGAUUAGCCCAAACCAAUAAAGUUUUCUUUAUUGGGGUUGCGGACAUAUCAUAACGAAGAGGUAUCGUAAUUGAAGAGGUUUGGAAAGACCCACCACAGAAGGUAAUAGUCCUGUAUGUUAAACGAGAAGACUUUAGAUAUGAUCCAGAGUACCACGGGACACGUGAAACCCUGUGGGAAGCAGGAGGGACCACCCUCCAAGGCUAAAUACUACCUAGUGACCGAUAGCGUAUAGUACCGUGAGGGAAAGGUGAAAAGAACCCCGGGAGGGGAGUGAAAUAGAACCUGAAACCCUGCACUUACAAGCUGUGGAAGCACAUUUCUUGUGUGACCGCGUACUUUUUGUAGAACGGGCCAACGAGUUACGUUAAGUAGCAAGGUUAAGCACUUAAGGUGUGGAGCCGUAGCGAAAGCGAGUUUUAACUGAGCGUUCAGUUACUUGACGUAGACCCGAAACCGGGCGACCUACCCAUGAGCAGGAUGAAGCGAAAGUAAAAUUUCGUGGAGGUCCGAACCCACGAGCGUUGAAAAGCUCGGGGAUGACUUGUGGGUAGCGGUGAAAUUCCAAUCGAGCCCGGAGAUAGCUGGUUCUCCCCGAAAUAGCUUUAGGGCUAGCCUCAAGGUGAGAGAUACGGAGGUAGAGCACUGAAUGUCCUAGGGGGUAUUGCACCUACCGAAGACUAUCAAACUCCGAAUGCCGUCAUCUUAUACUUGGGAGUCAGACUGUGGGUGAUAAGAUUCAUAGUCGAAAGGGCAACAGCCCAGAUCGUCAGCUAAGGUCCCUAAAUGUAAGUUAAGUGGUAAAGGAUGUGGGAUUGCACAGACAACCAGGAUGUUGGCUUAGAAGCAGCCACUCAUUCAAAGAGUGCGUAAUAGCUCACUGGUCGAGUGAUCCUGCGCCGAAGAUUUCCGGGGCUAAAACUUACUACCGAAGCUACGGCAUCAGUAAUGAUGGGUAGGGGAGCUUCCCAUACGGGUUGAAGCAUGACCGUAAGGACAUGUGGACAGUAUGGGAGUGAGAAUGUUGGCAUGAGUAGCGAGAUGUGGGUGAGAAUCCCACAGGCCGUAAACCCAAGGUUUCCAGGGGAAGGUUCGUCCGCCCUGGGUUAGUCGGGACCUAAGCUGAGGCCGAAAGGCGUAGGUGAUGGACAACAGGUUGAUAUUCCUGUACUACCGAUAACCGUUUGAGAGAAGGGAUGACACAGUAGGAUAAGCUAAGCACACUGUUGGUUAUGUGUGCCCAAGCAUUGAGGCAGUCAAAGUAGGCAAAUCCGCUUUGAUAAUGCUGGGAUGUGAUGGGGAGCGAAAUUUAGUAGCGAAGUAGCUGAUUUCACACUGUCAAGAAAAGUCUCUAUCGAGGUUAAAGGUACCCGUACCGCAAACCGACACAGGUGGGUGAGGAGAGUAUCCUAAGGCCAGCGAGAGAACUGUUGUUAAGGAACUCGGCAAAAUGACCCCGUAACUUAGGGAUAAGGGGUGCCACCAUCAGGUGGCCGCAGAGAAUAGGCCCAAGCGACUGUUUACCAAAAACAUAGGUUUCUGCUAAGUCGCAAGACGAUGUAUAGGAGCUGACGCCUGCCCGGUGCUGGAAGGUUAAGGGGAUCUGUUAGAGCAAUCGAAGCAGUGAACUUAAGCCCCAGUAAACGGCGGCCGUAACUAUAACGGUCCUAAGGUAGCGAAAUUCCUUGUCGGGUAAGUUCCGACCCGCACGAAAGGCGUAACGAUUUGGGCACUGUCUCAACAACAGACUCGGUGAAAUUGUAAUUCCGGUGAAGAUGCCGGAUACCUGCGACAGGACGGAAAGACCCCAUGGAGCUUUACUGUAGCUUGACAUUGGGUCUUGGUACUACAUGUACAGGAUAGGUGGGAGGCUUUGAAACCAGGACGCCAGUUUUGGCGGAGCCAUCCUUGGGAUACCACCCUUGUAGUACUGGGACUCUAACCAUAGGCCAUGAAUCUGGUCUUGGGACACUGUCAGGUGGGCAGUUUGACUGGGGCGGUCGCCUCCCAAAAGGUAACGGAGGCGCUCAAAGGUUCUCUCAGUACGGUCGGAAAUCGUACGUAGAGUGUAAAGGCAAAAGAGAGCUUGAUUGCAAGACAUACAGGUCGAGCAAGGAUGAAAAUCGGACUUAGUGAUCCGGUGGUUCUGCGUGGAAGGGCCAUCGCUCAACGGAUAAAAGCUACCCUGGGGAUAACAGGCUUAUCUCCCCCAAGAGUCCACAUCGACGGGGAGGUUUGGCACCUCGAUGUCGGCUCAUCACAUCCUGGGGCUGUAGUAGGUCCCAAGGGUUGGGCUGUUCGCCCAUUAAAGUGGUACGCGAGCUGGGUUCAGAACGUCGUGAGACAGUUCGGUCCCUAUCCGUCGCAGGCGUAGGAAAUUUGAGAAGACCUGUCCUUAGUACGAGAGGACCGGGAUGGACGUACCUCUGGUGUACCAGUUGUCCUGCCAAGGGCAUGGCUGGGUAGCUAUGUACGGAAUGGAUAAGCGCUGAAAGCAUCUAAGCGCGAAGCCAACUUCAAGAUAAGAUUUCCCACCG